rfam:Echinostoma caproni strain Egypt genome assembly, scaffold: ECPE_scaffold0001857
GCACUCCUGACGAGUUCCAAACAGGACGAAACAGCUGUCCAGUGC